rnacentral:snRNA from 1 species
AGGUAUCUCCAUCUGUCCCUCCCAAAGCUGUGCGCUCGGUCAAAGAGGAGGACCAUCCCUGAUAGAGGAGUACCGUUUCCUCCGUCAAGGGUAUUCGAGUAGCUGCUAGAACCUCCAAACAAGCUCUCAAGGCACAGAUGAAAUUUUAAAGAAAAGACAGGGAUGAGCUACCUCCACCCCCAGUAUUCAAAUAGAUGAAAGUAAAGAGGGU